rnacentral:rRNA from 1 species
UACGUAGGGUGCAAGCGUUGUCCGGAAUUAUUGGGCGUAAAGAGCUCGUAGGCGGUUUGUUGCGUCGGCUGUGAAAAUCCCGAGGCUCAACCUCGGGUCUGCAGUCGAUACGAGCAAACUAGAGUGUUGCAGGGGGAGACUGGAAUGCCUGGUGUAGCGGUGAAAUGCGCAGAUAUCAGGAGGAACACCGGUGGCGAAGGCGGGUCUCUGGGCAACAACUGACGCUGAGGAGCGAAAGCGUGGGGAGCGAACAGG